UUCACACCAAUCAACGCCAGGGUACUACGAGCCCCAGCUUAAAACCCAAAGGACUUGACGGUGUCCCAUCCACCUAGAGGAGCCUGUUCCAUAAUCGAUAAUCCCCGCUAUACCUAACCACCCCUUGCCAAUCAGUCUGUAUACCUCCGUCGUAAGCUUACCAUAUGAAUGCUUAAAGUAAGUUUAAUGGCCACACACCAAUACGUCAGGUCAAGGUGCAGCUCAUGGGAUGGCAAGCAAUGGGCUACAAUUUCUACUCUAGAACAAACGAAACGCUGCAUGAAACACAGCCACGAAGGAGGAUUUAGUAGUAAAAAGAAAACAGCGUGUUCUUUUUAACUAGGCCCUGGGACGUGU
rnacentral:rRNA from 1 species